UCUUUCGAGUACAUUUUCGGUGCAGCAAAAGCCAGCUUUUGCUGCUUAAUAGGGAACCGCGUGGAAAUCGCGGGCUGACGGGCAACUGUAAUUCGCCUCGGCGAAAAGCCAGAUACCUGCCGGAAACUGUAUUGUUUG
rnacentral:ncRNA from 2 species